UCAAUCUUCAACGAGAUCCGGAGGGACGCAAUUGGUCUUCAACAAGGUCAGGAGGGCCGCACUCGAUCUUCAACGAGGUCCGGAGGGACGCAAUUGGUCUUCAACAAGGUCAGGAGGCCCGCACACGAUCUUCAACGAGAUCCGGAGGGACGCAAUUGGUCUUCAACAAGGUCAGGAGGGCCGCACUCGAUCUUCAACGAGGUCCGGAGGGACGCAAUUGGUCUUCAACAAGGUCAGGAGGGCCGCACUCGAUCUUCAAUGAGGUCCGGAGGGACGCAAUUGGUCUUUAACGAGGUCCAGAGGGAAGCACUGAAAAUAUGUUAUAUUUCCU
ensembl:lncRNA